UACGUAUGUCACAAGCGUUAUCCGGAUUUAUUGGGCGUAAAGCGCGUCUAGGUGGUUAUGUAAGUCUGAUGUGAAAAUGCAGGGCUCAACUCUGUAUUGCGUUGGAAACUGUGUAACUAGAGUACUGGAGAGGUAAGCGGAACUACAAGUGUAGAGGUGAAAUUCGUAGAUAUUUGUAGGAAUGCCGAUGGGGAAGCCAGCUUACUGGACAGAUACUGACGCUAAAGCGCGAAAGCGUGGGUAGCAAACAGGAUUAGAUACCCCGAGUACGU
rnacentral:rRNA from 1 species